rnacentral:tRNA from 1 species
ACCCCGUGGUCAAGCGGUUAAGACACCGCCCUUUCACGGCGGUAACACGGGUUCGAGUCCCGUCGGGGUCA